GUGAAUCAUCGAAUCUUUGAACGCAUAUUGCACUCCCUGGUAUUCCGGAGAGUAUGCCUGUUCGAGGGUAAUUAAAAAGAACCAGUAACCAAUGUUUUUUGGCCAAAGGAAAUGAGCCCUCCGCGAUUAUAGCGGUAGCGUGAAAUAAAUGGUUAAGUCUCAUGUUAGCCGAGCCGCGUAAUAAUAUCAUUUCGCGAAAUCUUCAUUAUGUGACUAUCAAGUUUUGAUCCAUACAAAU
rnacentral:misc_RNA from 1 species